AUAAAGGCUGUGAAGAGAAGAGUAGUCUUAAUGGCAACCUACAGAGAGUUCCGUUUGCUGAGAAGGAAUGGGGAAGUUAAGAUGAAGCAAGCCUCGGAGCCGCAUACGGAUCCGGAUUAGAUGAUUUACUAAUCCGGUGAUGCUAUGACGUUUGUCCACGUUACAGGACUAAGGUAUAAUCUGUACCUAAUAAGUUUGAUAUGGUAACAUAUCAAAAAAAUAGGGUGGCACCACGAAGUAUUCGUCCCUACG
rnacentral:ncRNA from 1 species